GAUGAAGAAGAAAUGAGAAAUAAAGGUGGAAUAGGAGAAGAAGCCAAGGUGUAAUAUUUAGGUGACGACAGGCAGAAUGAGGUGGACGAAGCGGAGGCUGUGGGUGGUCAAUUCACAGCGCAGAUUACCUACACCUUGCACCACGCUGACUGCCCGCAGCUGUUCAUUAAAGUCGGGCAAGCCUGUAUCUCCGUGUUCUGCCCUGGAUAUAGGAGUAAAGAUGAGUUUGUGUAGCUGUGUGGCAUUGAGGAGUGCCGGAAGAAAAUUGUCGGUUGUGUGUGAGCCUUUUUACAUCAACACUAGAGAGUCAUACGACUGCCAGUGCCAGCCAUGCAGGUUACAGACUCGUGUCAGAAAGUUCAAGU